UACGAAGGGUGCAAACGUUGCUCGGAAUCAUUGGGCGUAAAGCGCACGUAGGCGGCCUCAUAAGUCGGAUGUGAAAUCCCUCGGCUCAACCGAGGAAGUGCAUCCGAAACUGCGAGGCUCGAGUAUGGAAGAGGGUCGCAGAAUUCCCGGUGUAGAGGUGAAAUUCGUAGAUAUCGGGAGGAAUACCAGUGGCGAAGGCGGCGACCUGGGCCAAUACUGACGCUGAGGUGCGAAAGCGUGGGGAGCGAACAGG
rnacentral:rRNA from 1 species